rnacentral:rRNA from 1 species
CCUACGGGAGGCAGCAGUGGGGAAUAUUGCACAAUGGAGGGAACUCUGAUGCAGCGACGCCGCGUGAGUGAAGAAGGUCUUCGGAUCGUAAAACUCUGUCCUUGGUGACGAAGAAAAUGACGGUAGCCAAGGAGGAAGCCCCGGCUAACUACGUGCCAGCAGCCGCGGUAAU